rnacentral:rRNA from 1 species
GACGAGCGCUGGCGGCGUGCUUAACACAUGCCAGUCGAACGGAAAGGCCCUGCUUUUGUGGGGUGCUCGAGUGGCGAACGGGUGAGUAACACGUGAGUAACCUGCCCUUGACUUUUGGAUAACUUCAGGAAACUGGGGCUAAUACCGGAUAGGAGCUCCUGCUGCAUGGUGGGGAUUGGAAAGUUUCGGCGGUUGGGGAUGGACUCGCGGCUUAUCAGCUUGUUGGUGGGGUAGUGGCUUACCAAGGCUUUGACGGGUAGCCGGCCUGAGAGGGUGACCGGCCACAUUGGGACUGAGAUACGGCCCAGACUCCUACGGGAGGCAGCAGUGGGGAAUAUUGCACAAUGGGCGGAAGCCUGAUGCAGCAACGCCGCGUGCGGGAUGACGGCCUUCGGGUUGUAAACCGCUUUCGCCUGUGACGAAGCGUGAGUGACGGUAAUGGGUAAAGAAGCACCGGCUAACUACGUG